UCAAAACGCUAGUUGGACAAUUUUCUCAACUAGUAGGUAAAGUUCGUAAAGGAGAGGCUUCAAUGCACCUUUUAGAUUGUGCACAAGCAGUCUUGGAAGUGACAAACCAAAAGGUACUCGAAAAUAAUAAUAGAAGUCCAACAGAUCAAGAACAAGAGGACACUACUUGAGGCUUCAAAUUGACUACCAUCAUUGUUUUGCUAGAUAGAUCUUAGUAUUAGUUAGUUUUGUAAGGCUACAACUACAUUUUUAGUGUGUUUUGAUUUUGUGGUAUUUUUAUUAACAUAUUAGUUAUGAAGUAUUAUUGAUGAACGUGUGUAGGAAUUUUAAUUGUGCGAACUACGUUUAUGAUUUAUGAUUACAUAUACAUUGUUCGAAGUAUUUUUAUGUAAUCUUCAAGUUUCA